AACGAACGCUGGCGGCAUGCCUAACACAUGCAAGUCGAACGAAGCCUUCGGGCUUCGUGGCGCACGGGUGCGUAACGCGUGGGAAUCUGCCCUUUGGUUCGGAAUAACAGUUGGAAACGACUGCUAAUACCGGAUGAUGACGAAAGUCCAAAGAUUUAUCGCCAGAGGAUGAGCCCGCGUAGGAUUCGCUAGUUGGUGUGGUAAAGGCGCACCAAGGCGACGAUCCUUAGCUGGUCCGAGAGGAUGAUCAGCCACACGGGGACUGAGACACGGCCCAGACUCCUACGGGAGGCAGGAGUGGGGAAUAUUGGACAAUGGGCGAAAGCCUGAUCCAGCAAUGCCGCGUGAGUGAUGAAGGCCCUAGGGUUGUAAAGCUCUUUUACCCGGGAUGAUAAUGACAGUACCGGGAGAAUAAGCCCCGGCUAACUCCGUGCCAGCAGCCGCCGCCG
rnacentral:rRNA from 1 species